AUUGAACGCUGGCGGCAUGCCUUACACAUGCAAGUCGAACGGUAACAGGUCUUCGGAUGCUGACGAGUGGCGAACGGGUGAGUAAUGCAUCGGAACGUGCCCAGUAGUGGGGGAUAGCCCGGCGAAAGCCGGAUUAAUACCGCAUACGACCUGAGGGCGAAAGGGGGGGAUCGCAAGACCUCUCGCUAUUGGAGCGGCCGAUGUCAGAUUAGCUAGUUGGUGGGGUAAAGGCCUACCAAGGAAACGAUCUGUAGUUGGUCUGAGAGGACGACCAGCCACACUGGGACUGAGACACGGCCCAGACUCCUACGGGAGGCAGCAGUGGGGAAUUUUGGACAAUGGGCGCAAGCCUGAUCCAGCAAUGCCGCGUGCAGGAAGAAGGCCUUCGGGUUGUAAACUGCUUUUGUCAGGGAAGAAAUCUUCUGGGUUAAUACCUCGGGAGGAUGACGGUACCUGAAGAAUAAGCACCGGCUAACUACGUGCCAGCCGCCGCUGUAAAAC
rnacentral:rRNA from 1 species